UCAAGUCAAAUAUCAUUAAUUUUUUAUUUUCUUCUUCAAAUACUCUUUAGGCCCUUUAUAUGUUGGCCCCUGCUAGCCAGCGCGGAAGGAAGUGGUCCUGCCUCACGUUGCUGGUGCAUUUCUGAGAUAGAUGUGGUGCAAAGGACUGUUGGCAAUUAAGGAUUGAUUUCACUGUCCAAGAGAUUUGGGGACGGAAAGAGUCGCUCAAGGCAAGAAGACCUGGAGCGGGCAAGACUGAAACAAAAAGCAAAGGAGUUUCCAGAUCACUGCUGAAAUUCUCAAAUCUUGUUUUUCAUCUCCUUGAACAUAAGAGGGCCAGGAGACGCUGAGAUGCUCGCUGGCAUCAGGGUUUGCUGUCGUGGCUGGCCUUUGCAGAGAAGAGUGGUGAGUUUUACGAAGUUUUGCGAAGUGACAUCUUUGGUCUGCAAGUCUAAAGCCGGGCAAUGUGAGUCUUCAAAAGGAGAGGGAGGUGCAGGUGCAGGUGCAGGCUGGAUUAUAAACCCAGAGUUCACGUUCUGCUUCCAGUAGCAUUUUCUAGCUGAGGGACUCUGGGCACACUUUUAAACCCUCUUGACACCCAAUUCCUCUGACUAUUAAAACAGUAGCGACAUCAGUGCCUGCUCCAGAGGACAUGCCCAGCACAGUGUUUGGCACAGAGCUGGUGUUCAAAAGAAGUUUUUUUGUAUCUGAAUCUGAGUCAGAAUGUUCUCCCUUCAUAAGACUGUUUUUAGCAUCUAUCUAAGAGCUGGUCUUUGAUGCUAAAAGAAAACACCUUCCAAGCUCUACUGAAAGCUGCUGGAAGGUAAAACAUGCAGUGGGCAUUCACAGCUCCCAGUGCAGGCAAACUCACCUGGCUGCAAGGGGCAACUGCAGCCACGUCCUCUGGUGAAUGUGAACGAUGAGGUCCCCACCAAGGUGGGCUGCAGUGAGCUCUUAGCAUACAGCUGUGCUGUGGGUGAGCACAGGCCACACCCAUGAAGCUUGGCUGACACAGGGAGAGAGCUGCCCUCGGGACACCUCCCCAGCUGCUGGGCACACUCAGGAGACUAGCCAGCCAGAGUGGAAGGAAUGCCUGUGCUUGGCAGAUAAGCAAAGACAGGUAAGGUCGGGGCAAACGGCCAGUGGGUCAGGCCAUCUCCAAGGCUCAGCCUGAGUCAGGCUGGUGACUCAGGUGUGGUCCUGGAGCCAUGGGCACCGCCCCUCUUUGGAGAACAGGGGGUUUCUACCUGUUCCUGCCUUCUGGGGGCUCCUUUCAGGGUGUCCUGUGGGAAAAAGAGGGUUUUACAGAAGACAUCUCUGGUUUUAGGAAGAAUUAAGAAUAAAUGGCAGGUACUGAUUGCACUAAAGUACACACACGAAAUUUCCAACUAAGAUGCUGAUUGUUAUUUUAAGCAAAAAUGUCUGUGUUUUCAGAAAGACACGUACAGGAUUCCACUGAUAUGAGAUAUCUAAAAUGGUCAAAUUUAUAGAAUCAGGAUGUGGAACGGUGGUUGCCAGGUCUGGGGGAGGGGGAGUAGGCAGUUACUCCUCUCAACAGGCACGAAGUUUCAGUUAAGCAAGAUGAGUAAGUUCUAGAGAUCUGCUGCACAACAGUGCACCUACACUCAAUGAUACUGUAUUGUGCACUUAAAAAUGUGUUAAGAGAAUAGAUCUCAUAGUCAGUAUUCUUACCACAAUAAAAUUAAAAAAAAAUUUUUUUUAAUGCCUAUAUUUUAAGUGAGGUUUGCCUGGAAAGGUUGUAGAAAGAGUUGAGGUCAACCCUGUCUUACCAAGGAGUUUGUUAUCCCUGUGAACGAGUGAGAAAUACACAUGAAACAUGAGAAUUAAAAAUAGGUGGGUUUUUUUUCCCCCAACCAUCUUACUUUUUAUAGUUAUUUUGAAGAAAUCUGCAUUUUUCACUUGGAAUGUGCUGUGCCUUUGUUGGCCAGCAAUGUGUACCCGUCUGCCCGCCUGUUUCCAGUGGCUUGUCAGGCUCACUAAUUAGAGAGCUGCCGCCUGAUUCACCUUGUUAAUUAGAGGGACUUGCACACGGAGGCCUCCGGGCAGUGCGCGAGAGAGCCUCGCACCAGUGCCCCGAGAACGACACGGUCUGUGAAGUCAUCCUUCUCAUCUACCUUCUAUUUUUCAUUUGAAAUGAAUAAAUCAUUGAGAUUUUC